GAAAUGCGAUAAGUAAUGUGAAUUGCAGAAUUCAGUGAAUCAUCGAAUCUUUGAACGCACAUUGCGCCCGGCAGUAAUCUGCCGGGCAUGCCUGUCCGAGCGUCAUUUCAACCCUCGAACCCCGGUUUUCUUUAUGGAUCCCGGGGAUCGGUGUUGGGGCACUACGGAGGUCUUCUGACCACCGUAGGCUUCGAAAUACAGUGGCGGUCCCGCCGCGGCGCCCUCUGCGUAGUAAUUUUCACCUCGCAUUGGGUCCCGGCGAAGGCCAGCCGUCAAACCCUCUAUUUUCUAUGGUUUGACCUCGGAUCAGGUAGGGUUACCCGCUGAACUUAA
rnacentral:misc_RNA from 1 species